rnacentral:rRNA from 1 species
UUGAACUGAAGAGUUUGAUCAUGGCUCAGAUUGAACGCUGGCGGCAGGCCUAACACAUGCAAGUCGAGCGGUAGAGAGAAGCUUGCUUCUCUUGAGAGCGGCGGACGGGUGAGUAAUGCCUAGGAAUCUGCCUGGUAGUGGGGGAUAACGCUCGGAAAC